rnacentral:rRNA from 1 species
AUGAACGCUAGCUACAGGCCUAACACAUGCAAGUCGAGGGGCAGCAUGAUUGAAGCUUGCUUCAAUUGAUGGCGACCGGCGCACGGGUGAGUAACACGUAUCCAACCUUCCGCUGACUCGGGGAUAGCCUUUCGAAAGAAAGAUUAAUACCCGAUAGCAAAGGAUUUCCGCAUGGAUAUUCUUUUAAAGGAUUCCGGUCAGCGAUGGGGAUGCGUUCCAUUAGAUAGUUGGCGGGGUAACGGCCCACCAAGUCGACGAUGGAUAGGGGUUCUGAGAGGAAGGUCCCCCACAUUGGAACUGAGACACGGUCCAAACUCCUACGGGAGGCAGCAGUGAGGAAUAUUGGUCAAUGGGCGAGAGCCUGAACCAGCCAAGUAGCGUGAAGGAAGACUGCCCUAUGGGUUGUAAACUUCUUUUAUACGGGAAUAAAGUCAUCCACGUGUGGAUGUUUGUAUGUACCGUAUGAAUAAGGAUCGGCUAACUCCGUGCCAGCAGCCGCGGUAAUACGGAGGAUCCGAGCGUUAUCCGGAUUUAUUGGGUUUAAAGGGAGCGUAGGCGGGCUUUUAAGUCAGUUGUGAAAGUUUGCGGCUCAACCGUAAAAUUGCAGUUGAUACUGGAAGCCUUGAGUACAGUAGAGGCAGGCGGAAUUCGUGGUGUAGCGGUGAAAUGCUUAGAUAUCACGAAGAACUCCGAUUGCGAAGGCAGCUUGCUGGACUGUAACUGACGCUGAUGCUCGAAAGUGUGGGUAUCAAACAGGAUUAGAUACCCUGGUAGUCCACACCGUAAACGAUGGAUACUAGGUGUAGGGUGUGAUAAACAUUCUGUGCCGUCGCAAACGCAAUAAGUAUCCCACCUGGGGAGUACGGCCGCAAGGUUGAAACUCAAAGGAAUUGACGGGGGCCCGCACAAGCGGAGGAACAUGUGGUUUAAUUCGAUGAUACGCGAGGAACCUUACCCGGGCUUGAACUGCAGCGGAAUGAUGUGGAAACAUGUCAGCGAGUAAUCGCCGCUGUGGAGGUGCUGCAUGGUUGUCGUCAGCUCGUGCCGUGAGGUGUCGGCUUAAGUGCCAUAACGAGCGCAACCCUUAUCUUUAGUUACUAACAGGUCAUGCUGAGGACUCUAGAGAGACUGCCGUCGUAAGAUGUGAGGAAGGUGGGGAUGACGUCAAAUCAGCACGGCCCUUACGUCCGGGGCUACACACGUGUUACAAUGGGGGGUACAGCAGGCCGCUACCUGGCGACAGGAUGCCAAUCUCCAAAACCCCUCUCAGUUCGGACUGGAGUCUGCAACCCGACUCCACGAAGCUGGAUUCGCUAGUAAUCGCGCAUCAGCCACGGCGCGGUGAAUACGUUCCCGGGCCUUGUACACACCGCCCGUCAAGCCAUGAAAGCCGGGGGUACCUGAAGUACGUAACCGCAAGGAGCGUCCUAGGGUAAAACUGGUAAUUGGGGCU